UGUUGUUAAUUGGUUACCACUGCAGUUUACUGUAAUAGAAUGGGUUUCAUCAAUAUUAUGCUAUGUCUGGUGCUGGUCUGUAACUCGUUUUGUCAAAGUCCGUGGGACGGAAUGAAUAUACAUUGUAAUAUGGAAAAAGUAAGUGUCAUUGUGGAAGAGGAUGGAUGUAAAAAUAUGAAUCCCGUUGAUCUGCAUUACUGCCGAGGUAACUGUCCGUCCGCAACUACCUAUUACCACAAGUACCCUUACUAUAAAUCAAUUUGCCAGUGUUGUAAAGCAACUGCUGAAACUGUUAAAAUAAUAUCAUUAGACUGUCCACCAAAUGAAGCAAAUGGAGAAAAAGUAACAAAGUUUGCUUAUAGAAACACAGUGGCAGAAUGUAAAUGCCAUUCUUGUGAUGCUACACGAAAAAAGUAGCUUCUAAGAAGCUUGAUCAAAAAAUUGUGUAUUUUGAUGUUACGACACAAGUAAAAAAGGCAGAAAAACUCAUUGAAUAAUAACAAUUUAAAAAUCGAGAAAGCGUUUUUAUGUUAAGAAUUUUGUUUUAAACACUUUAUGGAAAUAGUUUGGUGAUAAAAACAAAUAAAUUUAGGUAAAUUUAACAAAUUUUAUUCCGUCAUCGGUUGUGCGUAUGGCGUGAUACAUUGCUAGGUGCGUUAACCUCAAAAAAGAUUACGUAAUAUAUUUUUGUUAUUGUUGUUAUGAGCUUUUUGUUAUUGCUGUUAUGAGUAAU
rnacentral:misc_RNA from 1 species